CAGUAGCCGCGGUAAUACGAAGGGGGCUAGCGUUGCUCGGAAUCACUGGGCGUAAAGGGUGCGUAGGCGGGUUUUUAAGUCAGAGGUGAAAUCCUGGAGCUCAACUCCAGAACUGCCUUUGAUACUGAAAGUCUUGAGUUCGGGAGAGGUGAGUGGAACUGCGAGUGUAGAGGUGAAAUUCGUAGAUAUUCGCAAGAACACCAGUGGCGAAGGCGGCUCACUGGCCCGAUACUGACGCUGAGGCACGAAAGCGUGGGGAGCAAACAGGAUUAGAUACCCCCGUAGUCCCUGUCUCUUAUAC
rnacentral:rRNA from 1 species